rnacentral:rRNA from 1 species
UACAGAGGGGGCAAGCGUUAUUCGGAAUUAUUGGGCGUAAAGGGCGCGUAGGCGGCUUGGCAAGUGGAAGGUGAAAUCCCUCGGCUUAACCGAGGAACUGCCCUCCAAACUGCUUCGCUUGAGACCGGGAGAGGUGAGUGGAAUUCCCAGUGUAGCGGUGAAAUGCGUAGAUAUUGGGAGGAACACCAGUGGCGAAGGCGGCUCACUGGACCGGUACUGACGCUGAGGAGCGAAAGCGUGGGGAGCGAACAGG